rnacentral:rRNA from 1 species
UGUAAUUUGUAGAGGAUACUUUUGAUGCGGUGCCUUCCGAGUUCCCUGGAACGGGACGCCAUAGAGGGUGAGAGCCCCGUCUGGUUGGAUGCCAAAUCUCUGUAAAGUUCCUUCAACGAGUCGAGUAGUUUGGGAAUGCUGCUCUAAAUGGGAGGUAUAUGUCUUCUAAAGCUAAAUACCGGCCAGAGACCGAUAGCGCACAAGUAGAGUGAUCGAAAGAUGAAAAGCACUUUGAAAAGAGAGUUAAAAAGUACGUGAAAUUGUUGAAAGGGAAGCGUUUAUGACCAGACUUGGGCUUGGUUAAUCAUCUGGGGUUCUCCCCAGUGCACUUUUCCAGUCCAGGCCAGCAUCAGUUUUCCCCGGGGGAUAAAGGCGGCGGGAAUGUGGCUCUCUUCGGGGAGUGUUAUAGCCCACCGUGUAAUACCCUGGGGGGGACUGAGGUUCGCGCAUCUGCAAGGAUGCUGGCGUAAUGGUCAUCAACGACCCGUCUUGAA